ACUCCUACGGGAGGCAGCAGUGGGGAAUAUUGCACAAUGGGCGCAAGCCUGAUGCAGCCAUGCCGCGUGUAUGAAGAAGGCCUUCGGGUUGUAAAGUACUUUCAGCAGUGAGGAAGGUGGGUAGUGUUAAUAGCAUACUCAUUUGACGUUAGCUGCAGAAGAAGCACCGGCUAACUCCGUGCCAGCAGCCGCGGUAAUACGGAGGGUGCGAGCGUUAAUCGGAAUUACUGGCGUAAAGCGCAUGCAGGUGGUUUGUAAGUCAGAUGUGAAAGCCGGGGCUCAACCUCGGAAUUGCAUUUGAAACUGGCAAACUAGAGUACUGUAGAGGGGGUAGAAUUUCAGGUGUAGCGGUGAAAUGCGUAGAGAUCUGAAGGAAUACCGGUGGCGAAGGCGGCCCCCUGGACAGAUACUGACACUCAGAUGCGAAAGCGUGGGGAGC
rnacentral:rRNA from 1 species